GACACAGAAAGAGUCACGAUGCAACAGGAGGUUGAGCAAAUGAUCAGAGACGACAUCUGCCCUCUGACACAACCCAUUGCACCACCAAAAAAUGAUUGCCCUCAAAAAAAGUACAUCCCUGAAAAAACAAACCAUCCACUGCCCCCUGAAAAAACGAACCAUUCACUGCCCCCCGAAAAAACGAACCAUUCACUGCCUCCCG